AACGAACGCUGGCGGCAGGCUUAACACAUGCAAGUCGAACGGUCUCUUCGGAGGCAGUGGCAGACGGGUGAGUAACGCGUGGGAACAUACCUUUCGGUACGGAACAACAGUUGGAAACGACUGCUAAUACCGUAUACGCCCUGAGGGGGAAAGAUUUAUCGCCGAGAGAUUGGCCCGCGUUGGAUUAGCUAGUUGGUGGGGUAAUGGCCUACCAAGGCGACGAUCCAUAGCUGGUCUGAGAGGAUGAUCAGCCACACUGGGACUGAGACACGGCCCAGACUCCUACGGGAGGCAGCAGUGGGGAAUAUUGGACAAUGGCGCAAGCCUGAUCCAGCCAUGCCGCGUGAGUGAUGAAGGCCUUAGGGUUGUAAAGCUCUUUCGCCGGUGAAGAUAAUGACGGUAACCGG
rnacentral:rRNA from 1 species